UAGUGAGCAAGAAAACCAGAGCGCUGUUCUAGAAGCCAUGAGGGACAGCAGUGUUUUCAAAGAGCCAACAAAAGGGCUAGGAUGAGCACAUAGCUCAUUGGUAGAGCAUUAGCCCACCUGACCCAAAGCUCUGGGUUCACUCCCCAGUAAUGUUGGGUGGGGCAGUUGUGCCCGUAUUGCUGAGGGACCAAAUAAACUGAGAAGUGGCAACUGCCACUGCCUCUAACUGUGGGAUAGUCCGCGGUUACCUGGACAAGAAUGGUUGAAGGAUCAGGGCUUGCACAGGGUUUGACGGCGAGUGUGAGGAAAGGAUUCGGAGAUGGCAGGUGAGGCGGGUAGGAGUGAGUAACCGCCGAUAGACCAUGAUCUGAGAAACGAGAUAGGAAAGUGCUCUUCGGCAGACCUGAAAACCACACACGUGAGCUUCUGAGGGCUCUCAGUGCGGCUGUGGCUUCAUGCCUCCCAAACACAGGAAGCCACGUUGAAGUGGGUUUUCCAAGGUCACAUGGUAAGCAAGUGGCAGAGUAUGAAUGCCUGACUCCAAAUCUGCACCACUACCGCUCUGCUGUUCUGUCUUUUCCUCUGCUAGGGGUUCUGCAUCCAGGCUUAAGCCAAAUGCAUCUCUCUGUGGACUGCCAAGUGUCACCAUUAGAUGCUAACGACCAGCAGAUUAUACUCUGCUAAGCUGCCCAGUAGGUAAGCAGGUAGCCCAGACAGUUCUGCAGUGUUGAGCAGAGAAAGGAGACACCUGAUCAUCAAAAAAAAAUUUUUUUUUAUUCUAGGAUGAAAGAUUCAAAUGGUGGGAUGGGAGGCAGAGACAGAAUUACCCAAAGGCUCUCGGAGCAGCUGAUGUGAGGUAGGUCGUGUAGCACAGAAAGGAGAGACGGUGCUUCAAUACUGAAGAAAUAGGGACUGAGAAGGUUGACAGUUGUCCUCUGACCUACACACAAACACACACACACAGAGAUACACACAAAAUACACACACACACAGAUACACUCAAAAUACACACACAGAGAGAUACACAUAGAUACACACAACAUACACACAUACAGAUACACUCACACAGAAUAAUAAAUUAAAAAUAAUUUUUAA